rnacentral:rRNA from 1 species
UACGUAGGGGCUAGCGUUAUCCGGAAUUACUGGGCGUAAAGGGUGCGUAGGUGGUUUCUUAAGUCAGAGGUGAAAGGCUACGGCUCAACCGUAGUAAGCCUUUGAAACUGGGGAACUUGAGUGCAGGAGAGGAGAGUGGAAUUCCUAGUGUAGCGGUGAAAUGCGUAGAUAUUAGGAGGAACACCAGUUGCGAAGGCGGCUCUCUGGACUGUAACUGACGCUGAGGCACGAAAGCGUGGGGAGCAAACAGGAUUAGAUACCCUGGUAGUCCCUGAG